rnacentral:rRNA from 1 species
UACGUAGGGACCAAGCGUUGUUCGGAUUUACUGGGCGUAAAGGGCGCGUAGGCGGCUUGACAAGUCACUUGUGAAAUCUCCGGGCUUAACUCGGAACGGCCAAGUGAAACUGUCAUGCUAGAGUGCAGAAGGGGCAAUCGGAAUUCUUGGUGUAGCGGUGAGAUGCGUAGAUAUCAAGAGGAACACCUGAGGUGAAGACGGGUUGCUGGGCUGACACUGACGCUGAGGCGCGAAAGCCAGGGGAGCAAACGGG